rnacentral:rRNA from 1 species
CCCCUAGAUGUUCUGGGCCGCACGCGCGCUACACUGAACAGUUCAACAAGUCUUAACCUUGGCCGAUAGGUCUGGGUAAUCUUUGAACGCUGUUCGUGAUUGGGAUAGACCUUAGCAAUUAUGGGUCUUCAACGAGGAAUUCCUAGUAAACGCAAGUCAUCAGCUUGCAUUGAUUACGUCCCUGCCCUUUGUACACACCGCCCGUCGCACCUACCGAUUGAAUGGUCCGGUGAAAUCUCGGGACGGCGGCUUGGUCGCUUGCGUCCGACUGCUGAAACUUGAUUAAACCAUAUCAUUUAGAGGAAGGUGAAGUCGUANCA